AGCGGCGGACGGGUGAGUAACGCGUGGGUAACCUACCUCAUACAGGGGGAUAACAGUUAGAAAUGACUGCUAAUACCGCAUAAGACCACGGUACCGCAUGGUACAGUGGUAAAAACUCCGGUGGUAUGAGAUGGACCCGCGUCUGAUUAGGUAGUUGGUGGGGUAACGGCCUACCAAGCCGACGAUCAGUAGCCGACCUGAGAGGGUGACCGGCCACAUUGGGACUGAGACACGGCCCAG
rnacentral:rRNA from 1 species